rnacentral:rRNA from 1 species
UGAUAGUAUCAGAAGAGGAAGGGACGGCUAACUCUGUGCCAGCAGCCGCGGUAAUACAGAGGUCCCAAGCGUUGUUCGGAUUCAUUGGGCGUAAAGGGUGUGUAGGUGGCGCCGUAAGUCGGGUGUGAAGUCUCGGGGCUUAACUCCGUAACUGCAUUCGAUACUGCGGUGCUUGAGGACUGGAGAGGAGACUGGAAUUCAUGGUGUAGCAGUGAAAUGCGUAGAGAUCAUGAGGAAGACCAGUGGCGAAGGCGGGUCUCUGGACAGUUCCUGACACUGAGACACGAAGGCCAGGGGAGCAAACGGGAUUAGAUACCCCGGUAGUCCUGGCAGUAAACGGUGCACGUUUGGUGUGGGAGGAUUCGACCCCUUCUGCGCCGGAGCUAACGCGUUAAACGUGCCGCCUGGGGAGUACGGUCGCAAGAUUAAAACUCAAAGAAAUUGACGGGGGCCCGCACAAGCGGUGGAGUAUGUGGCUUAAUUCGAUGCAACGCGAAGAACCUUACCUGGCCUUGACAUGCAUCUCUAAGCGCGUGAAAGCGCGUGAGUCUCGAA